GACGAACGCUGGCGGCGUGCUUAACACAUGCAAGUCGAACGGAAAGGCCCCGUUGGGGGUACUCGAGUGGCGAACGGGUGAGUAACACGUGAGUAACCUGCCCUUGACUUCGGGAUAACUUCAGGAAACUGGGGCUAAUACCGGAUAGGAAUCCUUUCUGCAUGGUUGGGGGUGGAAAGCUUCGGCGGUUUGGGAUGGACUCGCGGCUUAUCAGCUUGUUGGUGGGGUAGUGGCUUACCAAGGCUUUGACGGGUAGCCGGCCUGAGAGGGCGACCGGCCACAUUGGGACUGGGAUACGGCCCCGACUCCUACGGGGGGCCGCCGUGGGGAAUAUUGCCCAAUGGGCCGGAGCCUGAUGCAGCCACGCCGCGUGCGGGAUGACGGCCUUCGGGUUGUAAACCGCUUUCAGCAGGGGCGAAGCUUGUGGUGACGGUACCUGCAGAAGAAGCACCGGCUAACUACGUG
rnacentral:rRNA from 1 species